GGGGGGCGUCGUGCUUGCUACCUGCCGGCGAGUGGCGAACGGGUGAGUAAUACAUCGGAACGUGCCCUGUAGUGGGGGAUAACUAGUCGAAAGACUAGCUAAUACCGCAUACGACCUGAGGGUGAAAGUGGGGGACCGCAAGGCCUCAUGCUAUAGGAGCGGCCGAUGUCUGAUUAGCUAGUUGGUGGGGUAAGGGCCCACCAAGGCGACGAUCAGUAGCUGGUCUGAGAGGACGAUCAGCCACACUGGGACUGAGACACGGCCCAGACUCCUACGGGAGGCAGCAGUGGGGAAUUUUGGACAAUGGGGGCAACCCUGAUCCAGCAAUGCCGCGUGUGUGAAGAAGGCCUUCGGGUUGUAAAGCACUUUUGUCCGGAAAGAAAUCGCACUGGUUAAUACCUGGUGUGGAUGACGGUACCGGAAGAAUAAGGACCGGCUAACUACGUGCCAGCAGCCGCGGUAAUACGUAGGGUCCAAGCGUUAAUCGGAAUUACUGGGCGUAAAGCGUGCGCAGGCGGUUGUGCAAGACCGAUGUGAAAUCCCCGGGCUUAACCUGGGAAUUGCAUUGGUGACUGCACGGCUAGAGUGUGUCAGAGGGAGGUAGAAUUCCACGUGUAGCAGUGAAAUGCGUAGAGAUGUGGAGGAAUACCGAUGGCGAAGGCAGCCUCCUGGGAUAACACUGACGCUCAUGCACGAAAGCGUGGGGAGCAAACAGGAUUAGAUACCCUGGUAGUCCACGCCCUAAACGAUGUCAACUAGUUGUUGGGGAUUCAUUUCCUUAGUAACGUAGCUAACGCGUGAAGUUGACCGCCUGGGGAGUACGGUCGCAAGAUUAAAACUCAAAGGAAUUGACGGGGACCCGCACAAGCGGUGGAUGAUGUGGAUUAAUUCGAUGCAACGCGAAAAACCUUACCUACCCUUGACAUGCCACUAACGAAGCAGAGAUGCAUUAGGUGCUCGAAAGAGAAAGUGGACACAGGUGCUGCAUGGCUGUCGUCAGCUCGUGUCGUGAGAUGUUGGGUUAAGUCCCGCAACGAGCGCAACCCUUGUCUCUAGUUGCUACGAAAGGGCACUCUAGAGAGACUGCCGGUGACAAACCGGAGGAAGGUGGGGAUGACGUCAAGUCCUCAUGGCCCUUAUGGGUAGGGCUUCACACGUCAUACAAUGGUGCAUACAGAGGGUUGCCAAGCCGCGAGGUGGAGCUAAUCCCAGAAAAUGCAUCGUAGUCCGGAUCGUAGUCUGCAACUCGACUACGUGAAGCUGGAAUCGCUAGUAAUCGCGGAUCAGCAUGCCCGCGAU
rnacentral:rRNA from 1 species